GGCGGCGUGCCUAAUACAUGCAAGUCGAACGCACUGACGUCGACCGAAGCUGCUUGCAGUGGACGUUGAUUGACGUGAGUGGCGGACGGGUGAGUAACACGUGGGUAACCUACCCUUAAGUGGGGGAUAACAUUUGGAAACAGAUGCUAAUACCGCAUAACCAUUCAGACCACAUGGUCUGAAUGUAAAAGACGGCCUUUGGCUGUCACUUUUGGACGGACCCGCGGCGUAUUAGUUAGUUGGUAAGGUAACGGCUUACCAAGACAAUGAUACGUAGCCGACCUGAGAGGGUAAUCGGCCACAUUGGGACUGAGACACGGCCCAAACUCCUACGGGAGGCAGCAGUAGGGAAUCUUCCACAAUGGACGAAAGUCUGAUGGAGCAACGCCGCGUGAGUGAAGAAGGUUUUAGGAUCGUAAAACUCUGUUGUUGGAGAAGAACAGGGACUAGAGUAACUGUUAGUCCUUUGACGGUAUCCAACCAGAAAGCCACGGCUAACUACGUGCCAGCAGCCGCGGUAAUACGUAGGUGGCAAGCGUUGUCCGGAUUUAUUGGGCGUAAAGCGAGCGCAGGCGGUUUUUUAAGUCUGAUGUGAAAGCCUUCGGCUUAACCGAAGAAGUGCAUUAGAAACUGGAAAACUUGAGUGCAGAAGAGGACAGUGGA
rnacentral:rRNA from 2 species